rnacentral:rRNA from 1 species
CCGGCGACCGGCGCACGGGUGAGUAACACGUAUGCAACCUGGCCGUGACAGAUGGAUAACCGGGAGAAAUCCCGCCUAAUACAGCAUGACGCCGGGAAGGGACAUCCCUUUCCGGCCAAAGGGGGCGACUCCGGUCACGGAUGGGCAUGCGGCGCAUUAGGUAGUUGGUGGGGCAACGGCCCACCAAGCCGACGAUGCGUAGGGGUUCUGAGAGGAAGGUCCCCCACAUUGGAACUGAGACACGGUCCAAACUCCUACGGAAGGCAGCAG